GGUUUAGGUUAUGUUUCAUAUCGUGAUUCCUUUCUUCUCUCUUACCCACGACAUCAGGUCUUGGUGGUGUGUGAGGUAUGGCUCAGGGAAAAGCACAGCGGCUGUGGUCGAUUGGUGGUGCGGGUCGUGCGUUGGUGGUCGAUUGGUGGUGCAUCGGAGGUUUGGACAGUGGUGGUUGAAAGGUUGGGCUCUUUGUGAAUGAGUAUGGAUAGCCUAAUGGAGCCGAUGAAAAAAAUUUCACUAAUUAUUUGGGCACAAUUGCCCGUAAUGGUCGCGCAGCUCCCUUGUCUUAUAAAAAUUGGAGGAAAGUCCCUGAAAUAAUUAAAGAGGACAUGUGGAUGACAGUCCGGGGCAAGUUUGUAGUAGAAGAAAUCUCAAAAGAUUGGACAUUAUCAUCCAUUGGUCAUAAAUGGAGAGAUUGGAAGAGUGAGAUAAAGAGUAACUAUUAUAAAAUUUGGUGUACAGAUGAACAAUGAUAUGCAAAGCCACCGCCAAGUGUUGAGGAGGACCAAUGGGAUUAUCUCAUUAGAUAUUGGCAUACAGAUGCAGCACAGGUAAUUCAUAAUGUUAUUUAGGUUAUUUAAUAAUAUUAGAUUUAUCAUUCCAUGUAUGUAGGUAUAUUCCCAUCUAAUGUGUAUUUAGAGAAUUGGAUAAUGCUUUUUUUUUUUUUCAAACGGUAAGGAUAAUGCUUAUUUACAAUUGGAUAAUUAAAAAGGACAUGUGAAUUGGUGGUUCUGGGUUGCUGUUUGGUUGCUUGAUUUGGCUGUUGAAGUAGGUGAUUUUUUUUUUUGACAUGUCACUAGAAUUAGUUUCUAGCAUUUUUUUCUAGUAUUAGUUUCUAGUAUUGUUUCAGUCAAGGAACAGAUAAGAGCAAGAAGGAUGGCAAGCUAGUGAUGAACAUGCUGCCAAAAUGAUUACACAACUAGAAGAGCUUGCUAGAAGAGCUUGCUGCAACUCAACCUUCUAACCUAGAUGAACCUUCACCCCAUGAUUUUUAUGCCCAAGUUAGGGGAGAAGAUAGAAGGGGCCAUGUUCGGAUGUAUGGCUUGGGAUAUUUUUAUUAGCCCUUGACAUUUUGAAACAAAACUUAUAUGUUUUGGGAUGCUAUUGAAUUUUAAUGCAAUUUUGUUCUAUGUUACAUAUUAAAUUUAAGUUGUUAGAUGUAUUCUGAUUGGUAAAUUAUAUUUGAUUUCAUUGAAUAGGGAACAAAAUAAAA